rnacentral:rRNA from 1 species
AAUAGAUACCCUGGUAGUCCACGCCGUAAACGAUGAGUGCUAAGUGUUGGGGGGUUUCCGCCCCUCAGUGCUGCAGCUAACGCAUUAAGCACUCCGCCUGGGGAGUACGGUCGCAAGACUGAAACUCAAAGGAAUUGACGGGGGCCCGCACAAGCGGUGGAGCAUGUGGUUUAAUUCGAAGCAACGCGAAGAACCUUACCAGGUCUUGACAUCCCGGUGACCACUAUGGAGACAUAGUUUCCCCUUCGGGGGCAACGGUGACAGGUGGUGCAUGGUUGUCGUCAGCUCGUGUCGUGAGAUGUUGGGUUAAGUCCCGCAACGAGCGCAACCCUUAUUCUUAGUUGCCAUCAUUCAGUUGGGCACUCUAAGGAGACUGCCGGUGAUAAACCGGAGGAAGGUGGGGAUGACGUUAAAUCAUCAUGCCCCUUAUGACCUGGGCUACACACGUGCUACAAUGGACGGUACAAACGGUUGCCAACCCGCGAGGGGGAGCUAAUCCGAUAAAACCGUUCUCAGUUCGGAUUGUAGGCUGCAACUCGCUACA